GGUCUUGUGGUUUAAUGGUUAUAACGAUGGAUUCUGAGUCUUUCUUAGAAUAUCUACUUCCAUAAAUCCCGGUUCGAUUCCGGGCAGGACCU
rnacentral:tRNA from 1 species